UCAGAGAGUUUGUAUCCUGGCGUCAGGAGUGAACGCUGGCGGCGGUGCUUAACACAUGCAAGUCGAACGGUGGAAACAGGAGCUUGCUCUUGCGGAUCAGUGGCGAACGGGUGAGUAACACGUGAGUAACCUGCCCUUGACUCUGGGAUAAGCGUUGGAAACGACGUCUAAUACCGGAUACGAGCUUCAGUCGCAUGACUAGGAGCUGGAAAGAAUUCGGUCAAGGAUGGACUCGCGGCCUAUCAGCUAGUUGGUGAGGUAACGGCCCACCAAGGCGACGACGGGUAGCCGGCCUGAGAGGGUGACCGGCCACACUGGGACUGAGACACGGCCCAGACUCCUACGGGAGGCAGCAGUGGGGAAUAUUGCACAAUGGGCGCAAGCCUGAUGCAGCAACGCCGCGUGAGGGACGACGGCCUUCGGGUUGUAAACCUCUUUUAGUAGGGAAGAAGCGAAAGUGACGGUACCUGCAGAAAAAGCGCCGGCUAACUACGUG
rnacentral:rRNA from 1 species